rnacentral:rRNA from 1 species
UUGGUGGGGUAAUGGCCUACCAAGGCGACGACGGGUAGCCGGCCUGAGAGGGUGUCCGGCCACACUGGGACUGAGAUACGGCCCAGACUCCUACGGGAGGCAGCAGUGGGGAAUAUUGCACAAUGGGCGCAAGCCUGAUGCAGCGACGCCGCGUGAGGGAUGACGGCCUUCGGGUUGUAAACCUCUUUCAGCAGGGACGAAGCGCAAGUGACGGUACCUGUAGAAGAAGGGCCGGCCAACUACGUGCCAGCAGCCGCGGUAAUACGUAGGGUCCGAGCGUUGUCCGGAAUUACUGGGCGUAAAGAGCUCGUAGGUGGUUUGUCGCGUUGUUCGUGAAAACUCACAGCUUAACUGUGGGCGUGCGGGCGAUACGGGCAGACUUGAGUACUGCAGGGGAGACUGGAAUUCCUGGUGUAGCGGUGGAAUGCGCAGAUAUCAGGAGGAACACCGGUGGCGAAGGCGGGUCUCUGGGCAGUAACUGACGCUGAGGAGCGAAAGCGUGGGGAGCGAACAGGAUUAGAUACCCUGGUAGUCCACGCCGUAAACGAUGGGCACUAGGUGCUUGGGGGAGCGACCCUCUGAGUGCCGGCGCUAACGCAUUAAGUGCCCCGCCUGGGGAGUACGGCCCCGCCUGGGGAGUACGGCCCCGCCUGGGGAGUACGG